GACGAACGCUGGCGGCGUGCUUAACACAUGCAAGUCGAACGGAAAGGCCCUGCUUUUGUGGGGUGCUCGAGUGGCGAACGGGUGAGUAACACGUGAGUAACCUGCCCUUAACUUUGGGAUAACUUCAGGAAACUGGGGCUAAUACCGGAUAGGAGCUCCUGCUGCAUGGUGGGGGUUGGAAAGUUUCGGCGGUUGGGGAUGGACUCGCGGCUUAUCAGCUUGUUGGUGGGGUAGUGGCUUACCAAGGCUUUGACGGGUAGCCGGCCUGAGAGGGUGACCGGCCACAUUGGGACUGAGAUACGGCCCAGACUCCUACGGGAGGCAGCAGUGGGGAAUAUUGCACAAUGGGCGGAAGCCUGAUGCAGCAACGCCGCGUGCGGGAUGACGGCCUUCGGGUUGUAAACUGCUUUCGCCUGUGACGAAGCGUGAGUGACGGUAAUGGGUAAAGAAGCACCGGCUAACUACGUG
rnacentral:rRNA from 1 species